rnacentral:rRNA from 1 species
UCCUACGGGGGGCCCACAGUAGGGAAUCUUCCGCAAUGGACGAAAGUCUGACGGAGCAACGCCGCGUGAGUGAUGAAGGCUUUCGGGUCGUAAAACUCUGUUGUUAGGGAAGAACAAGUGCUAGUUGAAUAAGCUGGCACCUUGACGGUACCUAACCAGAAAGCCACGGCUAACUACGUGCCAGCAGCCGCGGUAAUACGUAGGUGGCAAGCGUUAUCCGGAAUUAUUGGGCGUAAAGCGCGCGCAGGUGGUUUCUUAAGUCUGAUGUGAAAGCCCACGGCUCAACCGUGGAGGGUCAUUGGAAACUGGGAGACUUGAGUGCAGAAGAGGAAAGUGGAAUUCCAUGUGUAGCGGUGAAAUGCGUAGAGAUAUGGAGGAACACCAGUGGCGAAGGCGACUUUCUGGUCUGUAACUGACACUGAGGCGCGAAAGCGUGGGGAGCAAACAGGAUUAGAUACCCUGGUAGUCCACGCCGUAAACGAUGAGUGCUAAGUGUUAGAGGGUUUCCGCCCUUUAGUGCUGAAGUUAACGCAUAAGCACUCCGCCGGGAGACCCCCCC